CUGGUACAAAUAAAACAAUUUAUUAUGUAAGAGCUUUUAAUAACAGAGGGCUGACCAAGAGAAGUCAAGCAUUUGGAGCCAGACUAGUGGCUUCUUAAAUGCAAUACGAGGCUCCGGGCAGCUCCAAAACAGCAGGACGGAGACAGUGCUGGUUCCCUGCACUUGGGGGGACCCCACUUUGUAAGGUCUACUGAGUAAGUUACUGCCAAAUGUCUUUGCAAACGUUCCAUUGGUGGCUUCCCGACCAACACAGUAGAUCUCCAGGUUUCUAACCCUUGAGUAAAUGUUGGUUUGACUGAACAUCUUUGUCUCUGUGUUUUUGUUUUCAAGCAGGAUACACAGCCGUGGUUGGGUCUGGCAUAGGGAGGCUAAGUCCGGAGCAUGUCAGGGGGGUUUGGGUCUACCUGCAGCCUGCAAAUGCUCCCUGAUAUCCUAUUUGAAUGAGUUGAGUCCCAGUUGCUCCCAACCUGUGGCUUUCUUCAGUUCACAAAAUCACAUGGAACCUUCCUUUUUGUGUCCAAGUGGAUGCUUUACGAAAGGUAAGGGACUCUGACCCGGCCACAGAAAGUCUCUGAGUUGGGAUACCUGAGUGGCUCAGCGGUUGAGCGCCUGCCUUCAGCCCAGGUCGUGAUCCCGGAGUCCUGGGAUCCAGUCCCACGUCGGGCCCCUGCAUGGAGCCUGCUUCUCCCUCUGCCUGUGUCUCUGCCUCUCUCUCUCCAUGUCUCUCAUGAAUAAAUAAAUAAAUUCUUAAAAAAAAAAGAAAGUCUCUGAGUUGCAGUCACCUUGAAGCAAUACAUUAAGGAUCUGAACUUGACGUCCUUGUUCAGUUUUCCAUGGGCAUCAGCAACAGUCCUUGUGCUGUCCCCACAGUUCUGGAAUUCCUAGUACUUUCCAUGUCGCUAUGUAGAAGAGGCGACCCUGAUGCACACAGUCCUGGCCUUUCUGACAUGCCAGCUGCCAGGUGACUGCAGCAAGAACUUCGUCAUUCCAUCACCAGAUCCCAAGAACUCCUAGGGUCCCAGGCAUUAGAAUAUUAACAAGAACUUCAUCAUCUGCUUCGUCACCACCAGGUCCCUGAAUCCAAACACCCCGUAUUUCCCUGAGGUUCUGGGGUUUGCCAUGUACUCUUUCUUCCCUCUUAAUUUCUAUCCUAGUCAACAUUUUUUUAAAUUUGUUUUCAAGCAAAGAUAUCAGUUCCUGUCAACUCAAGCAAGUCUACAGUAUAUUCUUGAUGCAAUACCCAGAGAGGUGCCAUUUAACAUUUAAACAUUAGCCUGGUGGUGUCACUUCUCUGCCCAAGACUUCAACGUCUCCUGCCUCAUUCAGUGUAAAGCCAAAGUUCCCACUGGAGCUUCAUUAGGUCCUGUACCAUGUGGUUCUUAUUCCUUCUUCGGCUUCACCCAUUGACCCGUUUUCCUCUUCUUCACUCAUUGUUACCCAAAACUAGGCCACACGUGCUCCCACCUUGGGACGUUUUUACUUAUUUCUUCCUCUACUUUUUUUCCCCUACUCCCCAAGCUAUAGGUACGUCUCAUGCCUUCCUCCUUCAAGGCCUUGCUGAAAUGUCACCUUCUCUCUGAGGUCUCCUCUGAAGACUUUAUUUAAAAUUAUAGGGGCACUUGGGUGGCUCAGUCUGUUAGGUGUCUGCCCUUGGCUCAGGUUAUGAUCUCAGGGUCCUGGGAUUGAGCCCCGAGUUGGGCUCCCUGCUCAACGUGGAGCCUGCUUCUCCCUCUGCCCUUCGCCUGUGCUCAUGCUCUGUCUCACUCUCUUGCUCUCAAAUAAAUAAAAUAUUUUAAAAAUCAUAACCCUCCUAUGAGUCUUCUUCUCCCCCUCUUUGUCCUUUCUCCAUCUCUCUAGCCUGUAUCACCAUCUGACAUAUUAUAUAUUUUACUUCAUUAGCUCUCGGCUCUAUAAGGACGAUCUCCCUGCUCCUGUUUUGCUCACUGAUGUAACCUUAGCUCCCGGAACAGGGCUGCUGUGCUCAGCAUACUAAUGCCCUUUGUUUAAUGUUUUUGAUUCUUUCUCUACUUCUAUGUGGCUGUCAUCUGUAGAACUG
rnacentral:lncRNA from 1 species